GUGGGUAUAGCUCAGUGAUGGAGUGCAUCUUUAACAUACAUGAGGUCCUGGGUUCAAUCCCCAGAACUUCCA
rnacentral:tRNA from 1 species